CCCUUAGAUGUUCUGGGCCGCACGCGUGCUAAACUGAGUAAAUCAAUGGGUAAGGGAACACGAAAGUGCAACCUAAUCUUGAAAUUUGCUCGUGAUGGGGAUCGACGGUUGCAAUUUUCCGUCGUGAACGAGGAAUACCUUGUAGGCGCGUGUCAUCAUCACGCGCCGAAUACGUCCCUGCCCUUUGUACACACCGCCCGUCGCUCCUACCGAUUGAGUGAUCCGGUGAGGCUCUGGGACCUGGACGGAAAGAGCGUUUCGCUUGUUCUGUUUGGGAAACUUGGUCGAACCUUAUCAUUUAGAGGAAGGAGAAGUCGUAACA
rnacentral:rRNA from 1 species